rnacentral:lncRNA from 1 species
CGACCGGUUUCUGGUUCGAGUACAGCUAAAUAAUUUAGCGCUGAAUGAGGAGCGUCGCUAUCUUAUGAGGCGUGAACAUUAAUGCCCGCGCAUGCUGUGUUCAUUAAGAAAACCAAUUAAUACAGGCAGCUUAAAUCCUGUAAUAGAGGACGUGUUUCUCACCAGUCCGGCCGGAGAUGAGAAAGGCUUGUGUAUUCCGCGCCAUAAUCUUGACAUUCAGGGAACCUUUGUUCUCUGAAUCCAUUGUGAAUUAUGUCAAUCAAAUUUAAACGGUGGCAUUUUGGGCUGGAGCGUUUCGACCACGCGGUCUCCAGGAAUUACUCGCUUGAACAAUUGCAAAUUGAAAUGGAGCUGCACCUGAAAGAAAUAAUGACCCCACAAUUCAGGAGGACAGAACGUGUUGUGCACAGUAUUAAGACCUUCAUAAUUCAUCUCUCAGCCCUUCAAACUCAAGACAAGCAUGAAGUAAUAAUGAAAAAGAAAAGGUGAGUGAACUUCUGACUGUUAAGUUGUGCUCGUACAGCUUUAAUGAAAAACUAAUAUGAAGUUUCUCAAAGGGAUGUUGGAAAUGGCAUAAGGUAAAGCCCUAGAUUACUCUGAUCAGACUCACGUGGCAGGACGAUUCGAAUUGCUUCCCAACCAACUGUAAUUAAAAACCAGCAAUAGUUUAAUGAUCGGGUAUGCUUCAACAUUUCACAAAAAGUGUCUUCAGAACAACCCACAAAGUCCCAUAAAGAUCUGCUUUUGACAGCGAUAGUUGCCCUAAGUGCAGAUCUGCGUGAGUUAACGCUCUUCCUCAUGAAUUAUAUAGGCACAU